rnacentral:ncRNA from 1 species
UACCUGGUUGAUCCUGCCAGUAGUCAUAUGCUUGUCUCAAAGAUUAAGCCAUGCAAGUCUAAGUACGAGCUCUCGUACAGUGAAACUGCGAAUGGCUCAUUAAAUCAGUUAUGGUUCAUUUGAUCGUACAGUUUACUUGGAUAACUGUGGUAAUUCUAGAGCUAAUACAUGCGAGAAGCGCCGACCUCGCGGGAGGCGUGCAUUUAUCAGACCAAAAACCGGCCGCGUCUUCGGGCGCGUUCGCCUUGGUGACUCUGGAUAACUUUGCGGAUCGCACGGUCUAGCACCGGCGACGGAUCAUUCAAGUGUCUGCCCUAUCAACUUUCGUCGGUACGGUAUUUGCCUACCGAGGUUCUUACGGGUGACGGGGGAAUCAGGGUUCGAUUCCGGAGAGGGAGCCUGAGAAACGGCUACCACAUC